UACACUGAUAUUUACCAAUUUUUAUCACAUCACCCAUGAAGGGGCAUCAGAAUGCUAAGGAGUCUGUCAAUCAGUGCAAAAUGAGGUCGACGGAUGUCUCUUAUGCCUUUAGGAUGGUCAAAUCACUCGUGGUUCAGCCAAGAAAUUGGCAUUAGGUCCAACAUCUAAAAUUUCCAAAUCUCCCAAAUUAUGACCAAAUGACUAAGACUCAAAAAAGGAUGGCACAGAAGAAGUAUGGUGUCGUGGUGAGAAGAAUGUUUGGCACCCAAGGACUUGACGAG
rnacentral:lncRNA from 1 species